UCUGCGUUCAAACACCCGUUCCCAUAUAAUCACAGAGUAUAAGCAACGUUGAGCCUGGUCAGUACCUAGAUGGGUGACCGCUUGGAAAUACCAGGUG